GUUUAUCUCUUUUCCCUGAUUAUAAUCUCAUUUCAUCAUCAAAUUGACUUUUUUUUUUGUCAGGAUUAGCUGCGACCCAUAAUUCCUGGAACCCGCAAAUCCAGGGCCUCGUCGGAAGCGUAAAACCCAACGACGAAGACGAUGAUCGGAGUUCCAAUGAGACAGGUGCAGGUAUUGAGGUGUGUGCCAUUGACAAUCGGGGAGUAGGUCGUAGCUCUAUACCAACUAAAAGAUCAGAAUAUACGUAAGGAUAUCAAAUUUCGGAUCAUCUUUUUGGGUUUAUAUAUUGUGAUUUUAGGUUUGAUUUUGUUUCAUUGAAGCAUAAAUAAAUGAGUUAAAUGUUGGGUGCAGAACAAGUAUAAUGGCUAAAGAUGCGAUAGCAGUAAUGGACCAUUUGGGUUGGAAGAAAGCUCAUGUAUUUGGCCACUCAAUGGGUGAGUCUGAGUCAACUCAACUAUGUUGUUUAUGAAAUUCAUUUAGAAAGUACAUUCAUUGCCUAUUUGAAGGAAUUUGAAUCUUGAAAAUCUAAGAUUGUGUUUGUGUUGUGUGGAGGUGGUAUGAUUGCUUCAAAACUGGCUGCUCUAUUUCCAGAUAGAAUUCAGUCUUUGGCCUUACUUAAUGUAACUGGUGGAGGCUAUCAAUGUCUUCCCAAGGUACUAAACUACAACAAAUUAUCUUUCAUCUAAACUUACAUUCAGCUUAAUGAGUUUUUAAUUUUCCUUUCUAAAAUUUAUUUUCAUUUCUGCAGCUUGAUCGCCAAACAUUUUCCAUUGCUAUUCGUUUUUUGAUGGCAAAAACUCCAGCACAGAGAGCAGCGGUGGAUCUCGACACUCACUAUACACAGGUCAAACUCAAAAGUCAAACCAUCUACCUUUUCCUUAUUAAGGGAAGGGGUAUUUUAGACUUUUCACAACUUGUCUGAUUUUCAAAAGAAGACAUGUUUCUACUGAAUUGUGCAGGAAUAUCUUGGAGAAUAUGUUGGACGUGAAACAAGAAGAGCAGUACUAUAUCAAGUAAGAAUUUAAUUUAAUUAUUAUCUACUUUUUUUACAAAUUCUGUUUAUUUAUGAAAUAUUUUUCCAGGAAUAUGUUAAAGCAAUUUCAGCGAGUGGGAUGCAAUCCAAUCAUGGAUUUGAUGGUCAGAUUAAUGCUUGUUGGACACACAAAUUAUCACAAACAGAUCUAGAAAUCAUCCGAAAACAAGGUUUUUUAAUAUCAGUCAUUCAUGGCAGGUAUAUAUACAUAUCUUUGUGUUAGUUUAGACUUUAGAAACUGAUGAUUCCUUAAAUUUCUGUAGAUCUGAUGUUAUUGCUCAAGUAUCUCAUGCAAAAAGACUCGCACAAAAACUAUAUCCACUUGCAAAGAUGGUUGAACUUCAUGGAGGUCAUCUUGUGAGUCAUGAGAGGACCAAAGAGGUACAUACAUACAUAACAUACAUAACAUACAUAACAUACAUACAGUGUUUUACUGAUAUGUGUGCAAACAUUGUAAAUUUAGGUGAAUGAAGCUUUACUUGAAUUGAUAAGGGCAUCAGAGAGCAAUAUAAGUCCACAUGAUUGGACAAAUUUGUCUGGGAAGAGCACUAGUAAGAUUGGUCAAGUAGAAAUAAGAAUCCAGUUUUCAAUUUGGAUUAAGAUUAUAUUUGGGAUGAUGGAAUGGAAUCACAAAGGAAUGGAAUGAGAAAGGAUUAAAACUGUGUUUCAUUAUCAUGUUUGGUUGACUUGCAAGGAAUGGAAUAUGAGUCAUUUAAACAUGUUUAAUGUUUUAUGUGUAAAACUAGAAAAUCAAAUGAAAUUAUAUUGGUGAAGAAAGAAAAAGAUAUAUUUUAUAAGAAUAAAGUUUAACCAGAUAAAGAUAAUUAGCCAAAUAAAUUGCAUAACAAUAUAUUUCAUGUCAUUUGAAAUUAGUCUAUAUGUAUUUCAAACAGUCAAAAUAAGUUUAUUUAUCACUUUAAAAGAUUUGUUUGGCAAAGAUAAAAAAUUUAAACAAAAUCAUAUACCAUGAUAUCUUAAAAUAUAAUUAUAGUAAAAGAAACUUUUAGUCCUUUUCUGAAAAUAACAAUAAAAAAUAAUUGAAAUUUUGGAAGUUUUUAAAAACAUUUUUCUUAUCAAAGAUGAUGCAAGUUGAAGUAAUUUUGAGUUAUAAUAUAUCAAAAUAAAACACCCCUACCCCAUGGAAUGAAUUUCAGACAAGGCAAAUGAAUCACAUUCCAUGAAGAAUGCUCUAUUCCAUUCCCUCUUUGCAGUAGAACUCAUGGAACACAAAUUAUGACAUUCAUAACUGAAGCAAACAGAAAUUGGCAAUAAUAAACCAAUGUGUGUGUGUGUGUUUUUUUUCUCAGGUAUCUGGUCAAUGAGCUGGAUUUCCUCUAGUGGAUCUAAGUCAGAAGGAGGAAUCACUGAUGGAACUCUUAGAAGCAUCAUGCUAUACAUAUUUAGCAUCUUUGUUUUAUUAUUCGAGUACAUAAGAAAAGUUCCUAGACGCAUAAGGCCAGUCAGGGUAGGCACUGCUCUCACAUGAUGAUGAUGAUGAUGAUGAUGAUGAUGAUGAUGUUAUGUGGUAAGCAAUCAAAUUCAUUCUUUAAUAAGUUUUGUGUAUUUAACCUAAUAAUCUUAAUCACUCAAAACCAAAUUACCAUGCAGGUAAUUUACUAAACAUAUUGAUGUAAGGCUCAACAAAGUGCAGAAAAGAUGAAUGAUAUAACUUUAUAAGUUAUAACAAAUAGAAACAUAUACAAGAGGGAGUUUUGAGUUGCAAUGGGAUUCAACCCAAAAGCAUAUAAUUUUCGAGUAUUUUAUAUAUAACCAAACUGCAAUCCAGCUAGAGGGAGUCCUAUGGAUGCUAUCACUCUUGCUUUUUCCUGAUUAUACUUAAUGUUGUAAAUUACUCUUGCUCAUAUUUUGAGUCAAAUCACCAAAUUCUUAUACAAUCCAUAAAAACAAAACUGGAUGAUGUUUAAUUAAAGCAUGUUUUUACUCCUAACUGUGGCGCUUUUUCUGAGAAUAUGCAAACUUAUUGUAAAUGACAUGUUUGAGAAAAUUUAGGGUUUUAGUUUUACUCCCAAAUAUGGUGCAUUUACUGUCGACGUGUAUUUACCUAUAGAAAGAACACCACGAAUUGAUGUUGUACGAACUUGUAAAUGACAGCUUGAGAAAACCUGUCAUCUACAAUUCGUUUCUAGCUGUAUGUGCUAUAUGUGUAGGGAUUAAUAUGCACCUUCAAGUUCAAUCGACUGUCUGGAGUUGAAUUUGUUGAUUCGAUUCCAACAUCAAACGACUUCAAACCAUAUGAGUUCUGAACUUGAUCAUUCAAUUGCUAUACUGCGUGAGGCCGAUAGCAAUUCACAAGAACCUAAAUAUCAAUCGGACCACAACAACAAAACCUAUGCUUUCCUAAAAUUUGUGUUUUAUAGAUAGGUUCACGAUAGCCAAUAUAAUCGCAGUGUCACGUCAUCAAAGAAAACAAAACAAUCAACUACACACAUACAUAAACAAACACACAGAGAGAGAGAGAGAGAGAGAGAGAGAGAGAGAGAGAGAGAUGUUACCCGUGUUGUUUGCUUAAUAUCGUGGGAUUCUCCAUGCUCACGAUUGAGGAAGGUGGUUGACUGGUUGGGACUUAGGAACUUGGCUU
rnacentral:lncRNA from 1 species